rnacentral:rRNA from 1 species
GCUCCAAAAGCGUAUAUUGAAGUUGUUGCGGUUAAAAAGCUCGUCGUUGGAUUUCUGCUGAGGCACGCCUUGAAUACAUUAGCAUGGAAUAAUAAGAUAGGACCUCGGUUCUAUUUUGUUUGGUUUCUAGAGCUGAAGUAAUGCUUGAUAGGGAUAGUUUGGGGCAUUCGUAUUUAAUUGUCAGAUGUGAAAUUCUUGGA